AAGCCCUGGAUUCCCAAGUCCUCCCAGGCAGUGUUCAGUAGUGAAAACAGGCCACUCAUCAUGGCCUUUGGGCACAUAUUGGUUUUCUUUGUCCUUAUUUUAAAAGGUGUCCAGUGUGAAGUGCAAUUGCUGGAGUCUGGGGGAGAGUUAGUGCAACCUGGAAAGUCCCUGAAACUCUCCUGUGCAGCCUCUGGAUUCUUUUUCAGUGAUUAUUACAUGAGCUGGGUCCGCCAGGCUCCAGGGAAGGGGCUGGAGUGGGUCGGACGUAUUAGUUAUGGUGGUACAACCUACCAUGCGGACGCUGUGAAGGGCAGGCUCACAAUCUCCAGAGACAACGCCAAGAACACUCUGUACCUGGAAAUGAGCAGUCUGAAGUCUGAAGACACAGCCAUGUAUUACUGUGCAAGAGACACAGUGAAUGAAUGUUACUGUGAGCUCAGACAAAAACACUGCUGUGGGGAACACAGGAUCAGCAGGGGGCGCUGA